rnacentral:rRNA from 1 species
AGGAAGAAGGCCUUCGGGUUGUAAACUGCUUUUGUACGGAACGAAACGGUGCUCUUUAAUAAAGAGUGCUAAUGACGGUACCGUAAGAAUAAGCACCGGCUAACUACGUGCCAGCAGCCGCGGUAAUACGUAGGGUGCGAGCGUUAAUCGGAAUUACUGGGCGUAAAGCGUGCGCAGGCGGUUAUAUAAGACAGUUGUGAAAUCCCUGGGCUCAACCUAGGAAUUGCAUCUGUGACUGUAUAGCUAGAGUACGGUAGAGGGGGAUGGAAUUCCGCGUGUAGCAGUGAAAUGCGUAGAUAUGCGGAGGAACACCGAUGGCGAAGGCAAUCCCCUGGACCUGUACUGACGCUCAUGCACGAAAGCGUGGGGAGCAAACAGGAUUAGAUACCCUGGUAGUCCACGCCCUAAACGAUGUCAACUGGUUGUUGGGUGCAUUAGUACUCAGUAACGAAGCUAACGCGUGAAGUUGACCGCCUGGGGAGUACGGCCGCAAGGUUGAAACUCAAA